rnacentral:snRNA from 1 species
AAGAAAAAUGUUUUUUUCUGAGAUAAAUUGGAACCAUACACAGAAGAUUAGCAUGGCCUCUGCACAAGGAUGACACGCAUAAAUCGAGAAAUGGUCCAAAUUUUU